rnacentral:rRNA from 1 species
GACGAACGCUGGCGGCGUGCUUAACACAUGCAAGUCGAACGGAAAGACCCUGCUUUUGUGGGGUGCUCGAGUGGCGAACGGGUGAGUAACACGUGAGUAACCUGCCCUUGACUUUGGGAUAACUUCAGGAAACUGGGGCUAAUACCGGAUAGGAGCUCCUGCUGCAUGGUGGGGGUUGGAAAGUUUCGGCGGUUGGGGAUGGACUCGCGGCUUAUCAGCUUGUUGGUGGGGUAGUGGCUUACCAAGGCUUUGACGGGUAGCCGGCCUGAGAGGGUGACCGGCCACAUUGGGACUGAGAUACGGCCCAGACUCCUACGGGAGGCAGCAGUGGGGAAUAUUGCACAAUGGGCGGAAGCCUGAUGCAGCAACGCCGCGUGCGGGAUGACGGCCUUCGGGUUGUAAACCGCUUUCGCCUGUGACGAAGCGUGAGUGACGGUAAUGGGUGAAGAAGCACCGGCUAACUACGUG